GUUCCCUUGGACACAAGCUGCAUUACUAUUUAAGUGAUCCUUUUUCAGUACUAUUCUACUGGACACGAAGUGUGUUCAUUUCACUCUCAAUAUCCAGUUUCAAGGCUGAAGAACCGCACACUCAUGGACUGAUUGUUGUGGACCAAGAAGUAUAGGUAAGAAAAUACCUCGCUUUCUUUAUAGCUUUCUCAGACUACUGCUAUUAUUAUUCUACCUCUAAGGCCAGCCUCCCAGUAGUGUUCUCAUCUAUCAGAACUUUUUUAACCAAUUAACCUUUCUAUUUAGCAGGAAAAAAAUAUAUGAAACAUUUAAACAGAUACGACUUUAAAAGAUAUUGUAUAAAUUUAAUAUAGCUUAUUUGUCAUGAAGUCCAUAAAACACUCUUCAACCUUUAUAUGUUUAUAAUAUAAAAUCAAUGUGAAAGAACAAGUAUUUUAUUAGAAAGGUAACAAUAAAACCAAAUUAUAAAAAGAAGACACUAAAUAACUAUCUAGUACUAAGUAUUUGGCUAGGCUAAUUUCCUGCAGAAAAUGAAUAUCUACUAUGUGUACCUACCUCAACCCCAUCCACUCAGCAAUAUCUGUGAAUUGACUGGGAAGACAUAUUAAACUGCGCUGCAGAAUAUGUAAGAAGCAGAGUCAAAGUAUUAGUUUGUUCAGAGUUAAACAUACAUAUAAAAGGACAGGGUUCAUUUAGCAUUAACUGUGAAUCUCUGAGAGUAUCUAAUUUAUUGUUUUUAUUAAUAAAUAUCAUGUCCAGUAUGAGGGUUAGGGGCAAGAGAGAAGGAAUUUAAAUACUUAGAACAUUUUAGAGAACGUUCCAAGAGAAACCAAAUACCUCAGACUAUUUAGAGACAGAAGUAUUUUGCAGUGAAUGUGCUAUGAAAGAAUUUAUUAAAGUAAUUACCUUUACUAUUCACUGAUUUCCAUAGCAACGGCACAAAUUUUGAUUUCCUUGAAUUGAUAUUUAAGACUGUUUUGAGGAGUAAAUUAUUUCUCUGGUUUACUCAUUCCUUUAAUGCCCUCACCAACCUUCACCCACUAUAGUGGAAAAAAAAAUAGGACCACAAACUUGGUAAAGUUGGCUACAAAUAACUGAUUUUUCCUUAGUACUAUUCUAUGACCUGUGUUAAUUUGUUUUCAAACCAAAAAACAGUGUUCUAUGGAAGAUUUCAGAUAAUUUCUACAAACUCAAGUUCAUGGUUUUACAUAUAGAUAUGAUAUGUGAUAAGGUAAACACAGAAGUCAUAGAGGAAAUUCAAGUGAUUUCAGAUGCUCCUCAUAGGCAUGCUUCCCCCAGUCUCAUCAUGCACACUUGAAGCCACCCUUUUCCAGAUCAACUGCCUGUGAAAGAUUUUCAGAACUCUGAGCCAUUACUAAAUGGCCAUGGAAAGAAAUUAAGCAAAGAAAAAUUGGACAGACUUUCAGGAAAAGUUUCCUAAUUGUGAAAACUAUUAAAAUGUGGAAUAAAUAUCCUCUGAGGGAGAGGAUAGAUGCCCAUCUCUGAGGCUUUAAAAACAGGAUUUGACCAACACUUUGGGAAGAGAAAUGAGGGCAAUAUUCAUUACUUGGCAAGGAAGUGAGCUGGAUGACAUAAUGGUCUUUUCCCUCUUUCAUGCUAAUGCCUCUUUAAUGUUUCCAUUUAAGUAGUAACUUAGUUUCAAAAGCGGACAUUUUAAUGUGGGAAGAGUACUCAGGUUUCAAUGAAAACCUCACCAGAAAAAAUCAGGAAUGAAGGCCACCAUUGACCCUGUACGUGGAUUACUUUUGUAUUUGACCACGUAAGACAAUUGGAUGGGCACCUAAUAUAUUUCCUGGUACACUCCUAUUGUGGUUGGUCUUCUUUAUCUGUAUGUCUAUCUUGUUCAGUCUGCGCUUCAGCUUUGCAGGAAAAUAGAAAUUUUUUUUUCUGUGCUUGUUUAUGCUAACCAUGGUGCCUACAACUGCAUCUGCUGCCUUUACACGGGACUGCAAACCUGUUUUUUUCAACCUUCUGUUUUAUGGGUGUGCACACCCAUAAAUCUCCUGUGGCUGGGUUAAGGGAACAUACAAGCAGCUCUUCAGCAUUAAGAAUGUGAUGGGAGAGAUUCAGGUAGAUUUGAACUGCCAUCAUCAAUCAAGACCAAGGAGAAGGCUGCUUUCCAGGAUGUACACAUGGCCUCUGUUUGCUGUUGCUGUUUUGCUUCUUUUAAGAGGUGAACCAAUAUAUGUAUGUCUGUUUCUACUGUCACUUGCAGCUCAACAGAACCCUGUAAUAUACAUGAACAAGUUUCUGGAAGUUAAGAGCAGGAAAUUCCACUGAAACAAAAUAGAACAUACCUUUAUGUUCUAUUGAGAGAGUGUGGAAGAAGAAAAUUCUGUAUUGGUUUUGACUAACAACAAGCUGCCGGAAGAUCUCUUUUUCUCCUACAGGUUAAUAAGGAGAAAAACUGAAGGGAGAAAAAAAUACAAUAACAGCGGGGGACUUCAACACUCCACUUUCAACAAUGAAUAGGGGUUACGCAGUAUAUAUAUGAAAGAGAUGAAUAUCUUCAUGCUCCUGCUGAAAGGAGAGAGUGCUUAGCCUGGACCUUCUUCCCACUGCCUAUGGAGACCCCACAUGGCCGCCUGUGGAAUCCCCAGAACUACGUAGGGCACACUUUUAAAUCUACUAGAGCUAAGAUUUAAAUGAAAUUAGUAAAUUACUCUCUAUUGGGGAGUGGCAUGUAUUUGUAUGGUUUAGUGUCUAGAAUUACAUGCUAAGAAACACUGGCAGGACUUUAUUUUAAAAAAUAAUAAACUGUUUUCAGCUUUGGAAACUUCAAAAAAUAUUUAAGCACCAUUUAUCAGAAAAGUCAAACUAUUGUUCAUCUUCCCAUCACUUACAGAUAUAAUCAAGGCAUUACAUUUUGCAGUACCGAACUUGUUAAAAAGCCAUAUUUCUAAAAAUCCAAGUAACCAUUUUGCAUAUGAAGAGAAUACAAAGUUCUGCUGAAUGCUAAUGUGACCCAGAAAUAGCAUUACCCUCUCCACAUAUUGGUUUGGCACAUUCUUUUACCUUUAAGUAGAAACAGCAAUCAAAGUGCUUGUAGCCAUUUCUGAAUCUUCUGUCAAAGUUAAAAUUGCUUUGUCAAUUUCAUAAAAUGGAAACAUUUUAUGAAAUAUUAUUUUAUUUCUCCUUGGCCUUAUCAUCAUUCUUAUAUAAUAAAUAUAUUACUUGUCCUAAUAUAAUUUAUUUAAUAAUGUAUAUGUGCCUAUAACCAUAAGGCAAUUCUUAGCAAGGUGUCUGGUUACAGCAUAUACUCAAUAGGUGAUCACAUUUGUUGUCCUUGUUUGUAAUAACUUUAGAGAGCAUCAGAAGACUAGAAUAUGAAAACAAACGGAGCAAUACAAUAUGCUCUACACAAAAGUAAUCCUUUGCCAUAAAGAGCACAUUUUCGUAGACACAAAAAUGGAGGUCUACCCUGCCAUCUAGUGGAUAUAUUGGGAAAUAAAAAAAUUUGUUUUUAAGGUUUCAAAGGAAGUUGCAUUACAUUUCACCAAAAUGUUGCAUUUUUCUUGAGCAAAUAGCAUCUGCUCUCUGUAUUGCUUUCAGCAUAUUCUGUGAAGAUUUAUGCAUGAAUGAAAUAAGAUAAUUUUCAGAAAUCUUGGAAAAAGUGGGACUUGAGGAUUACAGAACAGAAGCUAAAAAAUUACAGUGCUUAAUGAAUGUUUUCACAUAUGGAACAUCACAAAGCGAGAGUGAGAGAGGAAGGAGACAAAUUGAUGCCCGUAUCGAGUUGUUUAAAAGAGGGAACAAAUAAAAAAGAAACUACUUAGCAAAUUUUUAAAGCUUAAAACCAGUCCCCAGGGUUCAAGGAAUUAUUCUCUAACACAUGGAAAGCUUGGCAAAGACGGAAAAUAUCUUUUGGAAGAAAUUUCAGUGUCUGGAAAGAGAAAGAAAAGGGAAGAUGAAGAACAUGUGAUGAAAGAAAGCACAGCAUUUAUGAAGAAUUCGGCAGCUCUGCAGCUGCUGAGAGCGGUGUCUGGCAGUGGCAGUUUUCCUUAACUUCACCUCAGAGCUGUUGGGUUUUGGUGGGAAAGAAAGCAUGUUUAAAGAAAAACUUUCAAUAAACUGGAUGCAAAAAGUUUGCAUUACCUUGUUAAAAUGAAAUACUAUCAAAAGACUAAUGUAAUACCAAGCAAAGUGAAUCUCCGGCCAGUUUGAUGUCUCUCAUGUUUCUGCUUGAGUAUAUGCAUAAGAUGUACGUGCCAUAGGCCUUGACUUUAAAAUGUUUGUGUGAUAUUGUAUAAAAGAUGUAGAUGAUAAACAAAAGAAAUUUACAAAUACUAUUUGAGCUUUCAGAAUGAUGUGAGACAUAUUUCUACUAGCGUCCGUUGAAAAUGUUCCAAUGUGUUUUGCAAAAUAAUUUUUUAGGAGGAAAACAUUGAUUAAGACAUAGGCUGAACUGUUAAAAUUAUUAAUAAAACUCAUCUGUUUGUUAAAAAAUUAACAAUAACAUGGCAUUGAUUUUAUUCAGGAUGUCAAAAUGUGUUUUUAUGAUUAUGCAUGUUUAUAGCUUUGUCACACAAGUGACAUGAAUUCUCGGCAAUUAAAAAGGACUUGAAUUUCAAGGCACUUUAGGAAGAUGAUCUGCUCCUCUAGUAGCUCUGCAUUUUAUCAAGUUAUGGUUCUGGAGUAAAGCACUGCAAAUUUCAGACCUCCACCUGAAGAAACGGUAGAACCAUUUCUUGUUUGUAUUGUUUUACAAUAUUAUUACCAUGAGACCACAGUAGGGAACUUUACUUUGCCUACCUACCGAAGUGUUAUAUGUGGAUAUACAAAUUUAAAGAAGCAGAGAAAGAUUCUAUUACAAAAGAAAAAAAUAGUGCAUGGAAAAGAAGACUGCCACAUCACCCCUCAUUACAGCAUACAAAGAGUUAUUGUGUGAAUGUUCAAACUUAGUAACCUCUGCCAGUUGAGCCGCUGGCCUGUCUCUUGGGCAGUUUUUGAUGGGCCUGCUAGAGCUAUCCUAUCAGAAGGAAUGAAGAGAUUAACAGGAAGAAUAGCAGUUUGAUAUUUUAAAACUUUUGAUAGCCAAGUCCAUUGUGCUAUUCAUUCCCAGCAUGUUUAGGACACUUUGCAGAAUAUCAGAUAGGAAAAUAGUUCCCCUACAGGAAGAGGGAGAUCUAAAAGGUAAGGACCCUUAGUUUGGGAACAAUAUUCUUGGGCUGGCCAGAGGUGAGGGCAGAUUGAAUUCUGAUCUAGCUCAUUAGUGAUUAGUGCUAGAGUCUUAGAGGGGAAAAAGGGGAGGUUGAUAAUAAAUAGGAAUAAAAAAUAAAAGUGGAACUAUUCACAUUGAUUUAUGAAAUGGAGAUAAUACUUUUUGAGAGCUAACAGACAGCCCCCCACUUUCUCCUAUUUAUAGCCUUUUGAAAGGAAGAAAAUAAAUGGUAUUUCAUGGAACAGACAAGCUGGAGGAAUUGUGGUCUUGCAACAGUACAGUGGGUUCUUUAGAUGGUUGUGAUGACCUAGAUACAUUGGGCAUGGCUAGAGACUUCCAGCCACCUGAGAACCAGGAAGGCAGGUGGCCUUGUAGAGCAAGCCUAAAGUCUGUGAGAAGAGGGACUCCAGAAACUUCUCUGUGACAACCUCCCAUUGUCUUACAAUAAUGUGGCCCUGGGUGUUAUAAACCUGCCAUGUCAUCUCUUGCCCUUAGAAACAGCUGACUGAACCAGAGGUGGACAACUAACCAAUGUUUAGCCAAUCGGACUCUCUUUUUCAGAAAUUUAGAGUUAGAACCACUUCCAACUUGGACCUAAUGCUACAAAAGUCUGGACCUCCAAUAUAUAAACUGGAAAACUGUGCUUGAUCCAUGUUUUUCCAUGUGGACAAAGGAGCAGAGAAAGAGUCUGCAGAGGGACAAAGGAAAACAAAUGCAAAAGAGGAGUAGAGAUGAGAAAUACCUAAAGCUAUAUCUGAACAGUUUUAAAUCAUUCGUUCCAGUUCUUUUCUGUGCUCCACCCAUAUUUCUGCCCUUGGAUUUUUAUUAGAUAUCUCUACACUCUUAUGAUACAUUCUUAUUUGACUUAAGGAAGGCUAGACAAAUAUCUGUUACUUGCACAAAAGUUAUUAAUCCAUACAGUAAGUUUGCCUCCACACUGUCUAAAUCCAACCAUUUCAGCCAGAGGAAGAAAAUGUGAAAAUCUGGGCUCACAACAGUCUCUUAGACUCCCGAAGAGAAACUGAAAUCUGGAUGUGACCUCAGGGGCUCUAUUCUUUCGUGUGUUUCUUCAAAAUGUCUAGAUGCCCCUCCAGCAGAAAGGGUUCCCUAGUCUUGGUCUCUGUUUCUCUCCUGUAAGGCACUUUCUGAUCCUCUACAAGCCCUCCCUGCCCACACACACGUACUUUAUGUGGAUCAAGUGCAUAGAGGAGUUCCAGUACUAAUACUUAAGGGGUUCUUCUGGGAGUCCAUGGGUGGACCUCGAUUCCGGAACAGUGGCUGAUGAGCUGAUGGCUUUGAUUAGUCAGUGUGCUAUUCCUUUCAAGUGAUUAUAUGAGAUUGGGCCACCAGAAUGGUACAGAAAUGUUGAUUUUGGGUGACUUUCACAUCAGGCACAGGAUGAAUUCAGGGCUCUAGGCUACUAGUGCUCCUCGGAUGAGUCUUGCGUUUGCGGCGGAUACAUGGUUCUUCCAUCAAAUCUUGCCUGCCAGUGAUCUGUCUGCUGUCAUGCCAAUGGUCUGUAGGAUUCAAGGGUGUAGGGUUGAUAGCAGGCCUACACUACCAAGUGUGCCUCUGCUGUAGGCACCCAGGACAUUCACCUCUUGCUGUAUCCAGGCCAUGUAUCUAGGAGUCCUUCCAGGAUAGCCUUGCCUAUUUCCUGCAAGGACUUUUCAGACUGUUGCUUCAUAAAGCCUCCAGGCCCUUCUGAUCAGUAUCUUCUCUUCUUACCAUAGAUGUGUGACAUUGGGCACUCUCAGAUAAGUCUUAUGCAAUGCCAAGUGAGAAACAGACAUUUCUUCUGCAAAUGAGACUCCUCUUCUUGCUCCUGUCUUUGUUUAGUCUCCUAACUAGGGAAGUACUAUGGUCUGAAUGUCCCUCAAGUCAUGUGUUGAAACUUAAUUGAUAAUGUGAUAGUAUUAAGAGGCAAGUCCUUUAGGAAGUGAUUAAGUUUUCAUGAGGGUAGAGUCCUCACGAAUGAGAUUAAGACAUUUAUAAAUGAGGCUUCACAAAGUGUUCAGCCAUUUUUGUCCUUCAAUUCCUGUCACCAUGUGAGACACAGCAUUCCUUCCGUCAG
rnacentral:lncRNA from 1 species